GGUGAUCUCUAGUAGCGGAUAAUUGAUGGAUUUUAUCCCUAAUCAUGUUGGAUAAGAUGCAGGUCGUAAUCUACUUCGGUGAGAUUGUGUAUAUGGUGACAGAGCGGAGCAUGGUUAUUCCUUGUUUAUUUCUGUUUUACUUUCAUCAUAGUAUUCUCUCACCUUUUGUAUAUUUAUCUUUAUGGCCUUAGAGGCUUACUUGAUAGAUAGGAUGUAUAAGUUGUUUUAAUUCUAAAACUCUGUAUAACUCUAUUUGUAAUUAGUCAGCUUAAACUCCGCAAGCUGCGGCUAGUUUCCUAUGUUUAUAUCACUAUAUCUAUAAAUUUGUUCUAUUCUCUUGUACCUA